UACCAGCACCCCGAGUGGUCGGGACGUUUAUUGGGCCUAAAGCAUCCGUAGCCGGUUCUACAAGUCUUCCGUUAAAUCCAACUGCUUAACAGGUGGGCUGCGGAAGAUACUAUAGAGCUAGGAGGCGGGAGAGGCAAGCGGUACUCGAUGGGGUAGGGGUAAAAUCCGUUGAUCCAUUGAAGACCACCAGUGGCGAAGGCGGCUUGCCAGAACGCGCUCGACGGUGAGGAUGAAAGCUGGGGGAGCAAACCGG
rnacentral:rRNA from 1 species